AUCUUUUAUGAUGAGUUCAUAUUAUAGUUAUCCCUGUCAGAACAAUACUGUUGAGGAACACGCACUCUGAAAAAAAA
rnacentral:snoRNA from 1 species